rnacentral:RNase_P_RNA from 2 species
CACACCGCAAAGGCCGCGAGGCUCACCCCGAACAGGAUGUCGUCGCCUUUCGAGGGGACACAUCCGCAUUCGUGAGCGGGCUAAGGUCUGAGUAUUCCAGUCUCCCUCGCUCGACUCUAGACGGGUCGUGUCUGUGAAGACACAGCGGCGCACCAGAAAUCCUCCCCAAGCCCCGCCCUCACGGGUGGAGGUCGGUGCUCGCAAAGCGGGUAUCCGGCCACCCCAAGAACCGUCCUGCAGUGGUCGGGGAGGGUUCGCAGCAAGGAAUUGAAAGCGUCGCGGAGACCGGGCGCGCUGCCUUGCUCGCUCUGCUUCAACGCUAUCGCGGUCCAUUCGCGUUACUGCUCUCGUGGCACGUACGCGCCAAACUGCCUUUGUUGUGUUUGGCUCAACGGUGGAGUGUUGAUCCUAGUAGCGCAAGCGCUGAUCACAUGUCCACCGCGAGACCUACGAGGUCGUUUGGCAGCAGAGAAGAAUCCUCGAGGCACGCGUCCUUGAGUGCACUUCGCGGCUCGCUAAUGGCACUUCGUGUGCCAGGUGAAACUCGAUUCAGACUACUCUUGCGCUGUG